CUUUUCAUUAAAGAAGUACCACUCAUACAAACACUUAUGUAAACUGAUUUAUUAAUGGUUUUUCUAUUUUGCAUAAUUUUUAAAUGGUUAACACUUAAAUUGCAGAGAAGAUGGCUUCCACUUUGGUGAAAAGGCUGAUAGAGUAUACAAUAAGAUGGUGCGCAAAUGUUUAAUUAUAGGCCAAGUGGAUUCAAGAAAACGUGUUAGUGUUUACCAAGACAUGUUUUAGUGUACUGCAGUAAGCCAGUGACGUAAUGGGGCAGUUUUUGUUAUGUUUUGACGUCCUUCGAAACC